rnacentral:rRNA from 1 species
AGAGAGAGACAUGCGCGCAUAUCAAUAAGCGGAGGAAAAGAAACUAACAAGGAUUCCCUUAGUAACGGCGAGUGAAGCGGGAAGAGCUCAAAUUUGAAAUCUUCAAGGUUCUACCUUGACGAAUUGUAGUUUAUAGAAGUGUUUUCUGUUAGUGGAGUAGCAAAAGUUCUUUGGAAUAGGACAUCAUAGAGGGUGAGAAUCCCGUAUUUGGUCAUUCCUCCUAGCGUUGUGAUACACUUUCAACGAGUCGGAUUGUUUGGGAAUGCAGUCCAAAAUGGGUGGUAAAUUUCAUCUAAAGCUAAAUAUUGGUGAGAGACCGAUAGCGAACAAGUACCGUGAGGGAAAGAUGAAAAGAACUUUGAAAAGAGAGUUAAACAGUACGUGAAAUUGUCAAAAGGGAAGCGUUUGACACCAGUGUUGUUUAGUUGAAAAUCAAUUCAAUAGUUUUUGAUUCUAAGUAGUAUUGACUUCAUCAGCUUGCUGCUUUCUUCUCAGAAAUUAUUGAAUGCACUUUUCAGUUAACAAGUCAACAUCAAUUUCUUUUGUUGUAAAAGGGUAUGAGGAAGGUGGCUUUCUCUUCGGCGCAAGUGUUUAUAGCCUUGUAGCCUCUGCAAUCGGAGAGGAUUGAGGUCUGCAGCGUAGAUCCUUCGGGGUUAGAUACGUUUGUGCUAAGUUAUAGCUUUUCAUAGACAACUUGUUGACUAUGUUUAGUCUUGUAGCUUACUCGCUUAUGCUAUUUUACCUACGCUUAGGAUGUUGAUAGUCACAGCGUGUAC